UACAGAGGGUGCGAGCGUUAAUCGGAAUUACUGGGCGUAAAGCGCGCGUAGGCGGCUUUUCAAGUCGAUUGUGAAAUCCCCCGGGCUUAACCUGGGAACUGCAGUCGAGACUGUCUAGCUAGAGUAUGGGAGAGGGAAGUGGAAUUUCAGGUGUAGCGGUGAAAUGCGUAGAUAUCUGAAGGAACAUCAGUGGCGAAAGCGACUUCCUGGACCAAUACUGACGCUCAUGUGCGAAAGCGUGGGGAAGCAAACAGGG
rnacentral:rRNA from 1 species